rnacentral:rRNA from 1 species
UACGGAGGAUGCAAGCGUUAUCCGGAAUGAUUGGGCGUAAAGCGUCCGCAGGUGGCGAUGUAAGUCUGCUGUUAAAGAGUCUAGCUCAACUAGAUACAAGCAGUGGAAACUACAUUCGCUAGAGUACGUUCGGGGCAGAGGGAAUUCCUGGUGUAGCGGUGAAAUGCGUAGAGAUCAGGAAGAACACCGGUGGCGAAGGCGCUCUGCUAGGCCGUAACUGACACUGAGGGACGAAAGCUAGGGGAGCGAAUGGGAUUAGAUACCCCAGUAGUCCUAGCCGUAAACGAUGGAUACUAGGCGUGGCUUGUAUCGACCCGAGCCGUGCCGUAGCUAACGCGUUAAGUAUCCCGCCUGGGGAGU